rnacentral:rRNA from 1 species
UACGUAGGGUGCGAGCGUUAAUCGGAAUUACUGGGCGUAAAGCGUGCGCAGGCGGUUUUGUGAGACAGAUGUGAAAUCCCCGGGCUUAACCUGGGAACUGCAUUUGUGACUGCAAGACUAGAGUGCGGCAGAGGGGGGUAGAAUUCCACGUGUAGCAGUGAAAUGCGUAGAUAUGUGGAGGAAUACCGAUGGCGAAGGCAGCCCCCUGGGUCGACACUGACGCUCAUGCGCGAAAGCCAGGGGAGCGAACGGG